rnacentral:lncRNA from 1 species
GCCAGAUCGUGCCACUGUGUUCCAGCCUGGGCAACAAAGCAAAACUCUUGUCUGAAAUAAAUAAAUAAAUAAACAAAAAACAACACAAGAAAGAGAGAGAGAAAGAAAGAAAAGAAGGAAGAAAAAAGAGAAAGAAAAUUAGAAUGGGAAGAAUUUCAGUUUUACAACUGUAACUGAUAAUUUUAAAUGUAUAUUUAUUGUAAAAUAAAACCCGGAUACAUAAUCCAAUGGAUCCAAUGUACGGCUUAACUAAUUACUACAAAGUGAACUGCCUCGGAGACCAAGAAAAAGAACUUUGCCAGCCACAGCAGAAGUCUCUCCACGCGCCCCACCCCAGUCACUCCUUCCUCUUCCAUAAGUAGUCAUCCUUAUUCUGACUCACAGGACGCACUGAUUGCAUUUUUAGCAGCAAGUCCGCUGGAGGUGGGAGUCGCUCGGGGAAGCUUCUAGGGCUGUCAGGGCCCAUUCCCUCCGCUAACACCCCUCUCUCCCCAACCCUCAGGUUGCGCAAGACCUCUCCGGCCAGACCCCUGGGGCGGGCUCAGCAGUCCUCCUCCACGCUCAAGAUGCAGUUUGAUGUAUCCGUAGAGGACGCAGUUUCAAGUUUCUCCAGAUAGAGAAGCGAAAGAGGAUCCGAAACCGCGCUUCACGUCGCUCUGGCAGAAAGCAGAAGCGCGGGGUUGAGGGCGCAGACCUGGGCAGAGGAGAGGCGCGCAGGGUCACGCAUGCUCCACUGAGCCGUGGGAAGUGUCCACAGCCAGCCAUGGGAGCCCUGUGGGUUCUGAAGCUGACAUUUCUGCUUUAGGUGCCUUAAGCUGAAGAAAUGCAUAGUAGAAGGAAUUGGAGUGCAGGCCUGCCAUUCCCCAGCUCUUUGAAGACAAGAUCAUGCAGAUACUUUUCAGCACACACGUCUGGUCUCCCUGGCAAGUGCCCAGCUCUGGGCCUGUACCCUCCCAGCAGCGCCACCCAAGGUGGCCAGCCUGAGCUCAUGAGCUGCUCACUGGGGUCCCUCCCCUGACCCUAACCCUGCUUCAGUCACCCACUA